AUGCUCGCUUCAGCAGCACAUAAACUAAAGUUGGAAAGAUACAGAGAAGAUAAGUAUGACCCCUGUGCAAGAAUGACGUCAGAUUUGUUAAUUAAGGGGAAAAACAUUU
ensembl:snRNA U6 U6 spliceosomal RNA